CUUGAAUGUUCUUAUGCCAACAGGCUUAGAAAGGAAUAACAACGUUAGGAAGUCCCUCUUUCAGGCAGACCCUGUUGGACUAGCCUGUGGGACGAGUCAAGAAGUGAUCAUCAGAAGACUCACUUACAAAAAGCGCUCAGGACUUGAUGGUUUCAGCACAGAACUCUACCAGCUCUUUAAAGAAUAGCUAACACCAAUACUCUUCAAACUGUAUCCAAAACAGAAAAAGAAGAAAAACUACCAAACUCAUUUCAAUGAAGCCACAGUCACCUUGCUAUCUAAACCUCACAAAGACCCAACAAGGAAAGAGAAUUUCAGGCCAAUCUCCAUUAUGAACAUUGAUGCAAAAACAUUCAACAAAAUACUUGCAAACCAAAUAUAAGAACACAUCAAAGAUAUCAUCCACUAUGACCAAGCAGGCUUCAUCCCAGGCAUGCAGGGGUGAUUCAAUAUACAUCAAUGUGAUCAAAAUCCAUCAAUGGGAUCCACCAUAUAAACAAACUGAAAGGAAAAAAUCACUUGACAAUCUCCUUAGAUGCUCAAAAAGUAUUUGAAAAAUCCAACACCCAUUCAUGUUUAAAGUCUUGGAGAGAUCAAAGAUACAAGGCACAUACCUAAACAUAGUAAAGACAAUAUACAGCAAACCUGUAGCAAACAUCAAACUGAAAGGGGAGAAACUUAAAUCAUUCCCACUGAAAUCAGGGACAAGGCAAGGCUGCCCACUCUCUCCAUACCUCUUCAACAUAGUUCUUGAAGUCCUUGCAAGAGCAAAAAGAUGAUUAAAGGAGAUCAAGGAGAUACAAAUUGAAAAUGAAGAAGUCAAAGUAGCACUAUUUGCAGAUGAUAUGCUAUUAUACCUCAGUGACUCCAAAAAUUCUACCAGGGAACUCCUACAGCUGAUAAACACCUUCAGCAAAUACAGAUACAAAAUUAUCUGGCCAGAUACAAAAUUAACUCAAAAAAUUUAAUAGUCCUCCUGUAUACAAAAGAAAAAUGGGCUGAAAAAGUAAUUAGGGAAACAACACCCUUUACAAUAGUCACAUAAAUGACAUAAAGUACCUUGGUGUGACCCUAACCAAGCAAUUCAAAGACUUGUAUGAAAAAAAUUUCAGUCUCGGCAGAAAGAAUUAGAAUUAGAAGAAGAUAUCAGAAGAUGGAAAGAUCUCCCAUGCUCAUGGCUUGACAGGAUCAACAUAGUAAAAAUGGCCAUCUCACCAAUAACAAUCUACAGAUUCAAUGCAAUUACCAUAAAAUCACCAACACAAUUCUUUCAGACCUUGCAAGAAAAAUUCUCAACUUCAUAUGGAAUAACAAGAAACCCAGAAUCGCUAAAACAAUCCUCUACAGUAAAAGAUCUUCUGGAGGAAUUUCCAUUGCUAAUCUCAAGCUGUGCUGUAGAGCAACAAUACUAAAAACUGCAUGAUACUGGCGUAGAAACAGACUGGUGGAUCAAUGGAAUCAAAUAGUAGACCCAGAAGUAAACCCACACACUAUGGACUCCUGAUUUUUGACAAAGAUGCCAAAACCAUACAAUGGAAAAUGUAGCAUAUUCAACAAAUGGUGCUGGUCUAACUGGAUGUAUACAUGUAGAAAAAUGCAAAUAGAUUCGUAUUUAUCACCCUGCACAAAACAAAAGUCCAAGUGGAUCAAAGACUGCAAUAGAAAAAUGGAUAGACUAAAUCUGAUAGAAGAGAAAGUAGGGAAGAGCCUUGAACUGAUUGGCACAGGAGUCAACUUCCUGAACAGAACACCAACAGCACAGGCUCUAAGAACAACAAUCAAUAAAUGGGACCUCAUGAAACUGAAAACUUCUGUAAAACAAAGGACACUAUCGUCAGAACAAAACGACUGCCUACAGAGUGGGAAAGGUUCCUCACCAACCCUCUAUCUGAGAGAGGACUAAUAUCCAGUAUAUAAAAAGAACUAAAGAAGUUAAAAAGCAACAAAUCAAGUAAUCCAAUUAAAAAAUAGGGUACGGUGCUAGGCAGAGAAUUCUCAAUAGAGGGUUGUUGGUAUAAUGUUCUUUUAAAAUGUAUACGCCUUACCCUUGUUAAUUCAAAUGCUGAUUUACCCACCCCCAACUCCCUGGUUUCAAUAUGGAUAUUGCAUUGUGAUACUCAUUAUAAGCAUCCUGUCUCAACUCUUGUGUAAACAGGACAAAAUAAAGCAACUAGAUACAAUGUUGUGCAAUGGGAGGAGCCAGAGGACAGGAAAGAGGGGAGGAGCUAGAGAGCAGGAAAGGAGUGGGAGGAGAAGGGGUAAGAAGAGAG